GCCGGGCGCAGUGGCUCACGCCUGUAAUCCCAGCACUUUGGGAGGCCAAGGCGGGUGGAUCACGAGGUCAGGAGAUCGAGACCAUCCUGGCUAGCACAGUGAAACCCCGUCUCUACUAAAAAUCCAAAAAAAAAAAAAAAAAAAAAAAUUAGCGGGGCGUGGUGGCCAGACUACACGCCUGUAGUAGCUGGGACUACAGGCGCGCACCACCACGCCUGGCUAAUUUUUGUAUUUUUUAGUAGAGACGGGGUUUCAUCAUAUUGGACAGGCUGGUCUCGAACUCCUGAC
rnacentral:lncRNA from 1 species